AUUUAGAUAAAAGUUCUCCUCAAACACAUACAAGUAGAAAAUGAGAAGGCAGAAAUAAAUUAAACCUAUUUUAUAAGUUAGAAUCAAAUCAUACACUACACGUUUUACAGAAGCUCUUUCAUCUGACUUCUCUGAAAACCUAUACACAUACGUUGAUCUUAACCAACGAGAAAAGUUUGACUCAUUUUGCUUUGAGGGAACUAUACUGACACCCUCCUUUUUCCAUCCCUAACUGUCCUUAAUCAUCUGAAGACAUUAUACUGACACCCCUAAUAGGGUGUGCCACUGUACCCAGUAAAGGAGGUUUGCGCACAACGCCGCCGAACAUGAUAGAGAAUAAUAGGAGUUUUGCGAAGUCUCGAAAGUGGGAAGAAAAUACCAAAUCGUUUCCGAUCAAGUACUUGGCGAGCAACUCGCGAAUGGAAUAGAGUUCCCUCUUGCUGAGAUCCUUCACGAAUUUGUUCUCAACUCCGAGCUCGCACACGAUGUG